UUAGAGGCCUCAUCAGUGGGAAACUGGUC
rnacentral:piRNA from 1 species